CUGUUUCCAAUCGUCAACAUGGCUGGGAGAACCUAUUGAACUACAGAGAGCUAUGAACGCCUGUUGUAUGCAGAUGAAGAGGUCCCAAUGAAGAGCGGUGGUUCUCAGUCCAGGUCCUGGGGACUCAAAGUGAUACCUUGCAACUGGAGAUUCCUCCAAAACGAUUCCCUACAGUUACCGUAUAGGGCACUGCACGAUUGGGUGGCCAGGGCCACCUUGGACUGCCUCGUGGGGAAAUUCAGGUGUGUGUGAAGGCUACCUGUGUCCUGCAUAACUUCAUGAGGAUGGACACAAGGACCAGGAGGGGACCUGCAGCUUGCCGCCGUGUGCCAGAGGAGAGGUCUGCUGCUUUGCAGGAUGUUGCAAGGAUGGGGGCCAACAAUGCAGCACUGGAGGCAAUCCGUGUGGGAAGGCCUUUACCUCCUACUUCCCUGGCAACACCAUAUACCACACUAUGCACAACCAAAGGGUCUUUUAAGAGCCACCCACCUUGCAAUAAGAGUAUUGUUCCAUUUACUUAGGUAUGUCAACUGCAGUUAUGAUUUAUACUUCUUAGGUGAGGGUGCCGUUCAGGUAAAAUUAUAAAUAAAUAAAAAUGUUUACCUUAUUUAACGGUGCUGUUCAGGUAAGGGUGAUGUCUGUACAUAAACAAAACAGGCUCUUUUAAGAGUCACCCAUAUUGAAAAAAAUGUGAACAGUAAGACACCCUACAACCCACACAGUUGUGUAUCAAUCUGAUUGAUGGAUUGUAUUGUGCAGUAAGCAGGCUCAGGUGUAUAACUGGCUCCUUCCACCUUCAAAGAAUAGGCAAGAGGACCAACCAUGGAGAAUAGUAAGACACACCAUUAUUUAUAUUUAAGUAACUACGCUAUAUCGUUUGUCCUCGUGUGUCUGCAUGUUUUUCAGUAUAAAGUACUCUGCAGCCACACACAGAUUCCUGUUKAACACUGUCUCUUUAACUACCUUGUUUUCUCAAUAACAAUUUCGACCCCUUCUCCCUAAAUCCUCUAGGUUAGAUCAGCUGUGUCGGUGAACCACUCCCGCUUCUGAACUGCCUGACACAUAGAGGGCACAGCAUGAUCAGAGGUAUGUUUUACUGUAAGAGAGGAUGCCAACCCCCAGUCCCGUCAUCGCCGAUCUAAGAUAACCCUCUGGCCAACUGGGGGCCCAAGAAUGGUUAGGAGACACUGUUAGAGACACUUAUGUAAUUGUGAUGACCUGAAAGAAUAGGAAGUUUGGUAGCACAGUAAUUCAUUAAUCAUAUGCUGUCUUCCCUGCUCCUCCGUUCUUAUCUCGUUCCCUUUCUGUCUAUUACACUUUUUCUCACGCCUCUCCCCACCUCAUCUUUCUUCCUCUGUUUUUAUAAUGCCCACCAGAUGUGCAUUGAAUUACAGAUUGAACUUAUAUUUAUACUAUUUAAUAAUAUUACGUAUUUAUAACUUGGAUGAUUAACUUCUUUCAACUUCUUUCAAUAAAGCUAUUCAUACCUGAAUCGCA